rnacentral:tmRNA from 1 species
GGGGAUGCCAGGAUUUGAUUGGAAGUGUCAGGCUAUUUAAGCAAGCUGCGUUGGCGGAUCGCAUGAAACCGUCAAAAAAUAAAUGCAGAAGAUAAUUCAAUUGCAUAUGCUGGUGUAGGAGCUUACGCCCCUGCAAUGGCAUUAGUCUAAGUUUUAAACUAAGACAGGUUCACUUAUAUUUACCCGGAAAUGUAAGUUGAAUCUAAUAGAACCGGGUUGCGGUAGAUAUUAAGCAGUCGUUAUGUUUACCAAGCACAAAAGUGUAAAGCCGAAAGGUUAGACUAACAAAAGGACAAACGCGGUAUGCCAAAACCGUACCUUUUUGAAAGAAUUUGGCGAAGCUUGUAAUAACUUGGGUAGUUCGAUCUUUCAAGACGGGGGUUCGAUUCCCCCCAUCUCCACCA